rnacentral:tRNA from 1 species
GAGUCUCUGGAGGAAUUGUUUUCCUCAUUUCUGGUUUACAAGACCAGUGUAAUAAAUAUACUACAUAGAC